rnacentral:lncRNA from 1 species
GGAGUCGGUGGCGCAGUCGAUCGCCGGCACCACGCUGCUCGAGUUUCCCCAGAUCUCCGCCGUCCGGGUGAAGGUCGGGAAGCCCCACGUCGCGGUGCAGGGCGUCGUCGACUACCUCGGGGUGGAGAUACUGAGGAGGCGCAGAGAGGCAUGAGCACAAGAACCGGAGUACCUCAUAUGAGAAGCCUGAACAGAGUUGAUCUCAGUUGAGCCCAUCGAUCCCUGUGUCUUAUAUCUAUCAAUCUAUGUAUGUAUGGACAUGAUGUUUGUCUGCGCUCAAUAAUUUCUGAAUUGGGAAUCAUGUUCUUGCCUGCAUAGAGUUUCUGAAUGUUCUUUUCCAAACAAAAAGAAAUCCACUUUGUGAAGUGUAUACAACACAGGAGAGAGCAUCAUAAACCAGUGUGGAUCUCAGUCCUUGUGAACAAUCAGGCAUUGGACCUAGAGCAUGUUAAACCGCUGUCCCGUAACUGAACCGAAGAGUAACAAUUAACCAUGGGCGUCCUUCUCCUGGUCUUGAUGUCGGGUGCAGCGCAAUGAUUUGGCGACAUGUUACUGAGCUAUCGAUCUUUAGCUAGCUAGCUUCACCAUUUAUACUGGGAGUUUGCAGCUAGAUCAUACCAUUUUAGCCAUGUAGUCAUGCAUAUAUCAUUUGGACAUCUCCGUCUCGUUUUGUGAUAUUUUUUACGUACUUUCACCUAACUGGCAUGAAGGGCCUUCCAUCUUACAUGAAGUAAACAUGUAAAAAUGAUAUGGGUGGCGGUUUCUAGGUUCGGUCUCCGCACGGACUAUGAUCUGUCAAAACAGAUCCCCACUUGUGCCAGCUGCGGUUGCCUUGGCCGGUUGGCCCUGGUGGGCUGUACUGUAGGUUCCAGUUCAUACCAGAUUAUAAUAGAACAUCACACUAUAUCCCAGAAAAGAAACUUGUUAUAACAUAGGGCACAAAACUUGGAAAUUAAUUUUUCAUGAAGAAAACAUAUAAGAGACAUUGAUUGCGUUUAUGAAAUAUAACUAAAACAUAGGAAUAUUAUUGAAAAUAGCUGAAACUUUGAAAUAAUUAAAUGUUUCUGAAACUAUUUCCAAAACAGUGUAAAAUCUCUACUUUGUUAGGUCUACAGUACCGGAGAGAGCAUCAUAAACCGACCAGAUCUGAACUCAGAGAGUCCUGGUCAUGCUGUUGCGUCACCUGCAUGUGUUUGGAUGGAUCUAUGUGGAGUAUCGAAACCGGUGUCGAUCUCAGCUUCUACUGACCCAUUACGACUGAAUUCUUAGCAUGCUCCUCUGAUUUUAGGUUUUCGGUAUUCGGAUCAAUGUGACAACGAAAUCUAGAACGAAAUUAUAAUAGGAGGAAUGCUGCAUCUACGGAAAAUUUCUUACCGAGUGGAUUCACGGAUUGAGACAGAGGCUCACAGUGAAAAUUAGUGGGAGUACAAGAUCCUUCGGCGUGAAAGAACCGUUUUACGGGGGCGACACAUUCUUACUAUUGUUCCUUCUUUUUUGAUAAAUAAAGGAAGAGCCUCAUAUUUCAUUUUCAGUAGGAGUACAAUCAUUACAUAAGGCCUGCUGGGCCGUCAACAACAUCGUACAAAUAGAGCUCACCAUAACACUCCAGCAUGUGUAGCAAGUUCAUGGGCGACCUGGUUGCACUCUCUUCUGACCAAGCUAGGUGUGCAGGCUUCAAAAUUGUUCACGAGGUCAUGUAUAUCUGCAUAAACUGCAAGGAGUUCAAAGAAACUAGUACUACCAGUUUCUAGGAUCAGAGGUCCCUGAUAUACAGCUUCGAAGCGAAUGUGGUGACAAGCAAAGCUGUUUCUAGCGAUGAUUGUAUGUGACGGCGAGAAAUCCAUCGCUCGUGUGGACUCUGAGAUCGCACCGUCGUGCAUCGUAUAGAAGUGUGGUUCAUUUUCCCGACUGAAUACAGGUCAAUAUGUCCUGAAAACUUUCUGACUUGUACCAGCUUGCCUAUUAAGUACAUGUGCAUUCCAUUACACUUUGAAAAACUCGCAGAAAUGAUAUUCAACCUUUAGUUCAUAAAAUCCUGAAAAGGAUCGCAGGAUGGAGUGACAAGCUGCUUUCCUAUGCUGCCAGACCGACUAUGAUUAACGUUUGUCUAGCCAGUAUUCAUAUUUAUCUUUUGUCUUUUUUAAAAUCCCCCAAGAGGGCAGUAGGUUUGGUUAAUACUCAUAUGGCCAAUUGCCUUUCUUGAAGGUCAUAGUAAAAUCUAUCUAACAAACUAGCCAUUAGUCUCCAUGAAGAAAGUUUGCUGGUUUAGGCAUCCCUAACAUACACUAGUCAAGUCUGGGAUGGAGAGACCUUGAAACAUUUGGUUUCAGCUUGAAGCCAUUACCAAAAGCAUCAUAUAUAAUGGAGAUACUAACUCGUUGGUUUGGGAAUAAAAUGUAUGAGGAACCUACUCCACUCGUUUAUUAUAUGCAAUCAUCAAUUAUAGAGGUGUCUUCCCUGUUUUCAUCCCUCUGUUUGGAAGCUUGUGGUCGCCUGUCGCCCUGCCAUCUGGCUUAACACUCUACCAAAUGUUCUUUUUUCAUUAGUUUUGUAUUUGUACUGUAAAAGCUUGUUGUCUUGUUCCUACGGUAAGAUAACUGGGAGGUCGUUCUUGUUUCUCUUUCAUUUUGUACAAGUACUAUAGGUGCUUUUGAGCUCUCUUGGAGUCUAGUUUUAAAUUCGAACACUUGUACUAGUCUUGGUGUAUCAGGCUUCUUUCACAGUAAUGGAGUCGGGGAAGUCCCUCCCUGUUGAUAUAAAAAAAAGGGGGAACAUGUGUGGGCCUUGUGGGCCACAUGGCAACGUGAGGAGGCGGCUGAUCGGCUUCCUGAUUGCAAACACUUUCCUUUUCUAUUUGGGCACAAGUGCAACAAACACUGCUAGUUGAUCCAUGACUUUUACUCGAAGCAAACAAUCAGACUUGACUUGGACUCGGAGCACAUUCAUGGUUUGUCUCAUAACCGAAUCGAAGAGGAGUACUUAACACUCACGUAUACCACUAUAAAAAGGGAAAUAGCAAUUAUGUGAUGCGGCAUGAGCCAUCUGACGGCGAUCUCGCUAGUUAUCCUCGUCCUGCUCUUCAUGCCGUGUGUAAUGGCAGUUCGCCGUUGCCAACUUCGAUGCCACCUAGAGUCAGCACCAGCCAUUGUUGGAAGGAUUUGUUUGAGUGUCAGAGAGCACCGCCUUCAACGGCCAAGCCCACGACCCUUACAGCAACAUCUCCGAUGUCUAUGUCCUCAAGUGGAACGUCGACAAAAUCGGUUGGACGACCUACGUCUACAACCCUGGCUACAACAAUGAGAUGUAGAUGUGCAGGGCGUCCAAACUCUGCCCAGAAACUGACACGAUGCACAUGUACUUGAAACUCUUGGCCCUUCCCACUGCCCAUGUAGGGUAUUUGUUUCACUCCAACAUCCUAUACUUGAUUAGGAAUAAAAGAAUGACGACAUGUUACUGAGCUAUCGAUCUUUAGCUAGCUAGCUUCACCAUUUAUAGUCGGAGUUUGCAGCUAGAUCAUACCAUUUUGGCCAUGUGGUCAUGCAUAUAUCAUCAUGUACAUCUUGUAUUGUGAUAUUUUUUUCCUUUCACUUAUGAGGCAUGAAUGGCCUUCCGCCUUAUGUGAAGUAAGCAUGUAAAAAUGAUGUGGGUGGCGGUUUCUAGGUUCGGGCUCCGCACGGACUAUGAUCUGCUGAAAUCUGAGAUGGGCUCUAGGCCCAUAUUGCAAUUUCUAAAAAAUCUCUAAGGGCCCAUGUGGGUUAUAUGGCACUAGGUGUGGUGGGAAGUUUAGUCCCACCCCGAAAGUGGAAGGAGAGUUGGAGUGGUUUAUAAGGGUUUCUCUUCUACAUGCUAUUGGAGCUUGAGAAGAGAAGAGGCCCUCGCGCACUCCUCCUCCUCCGCCCGCCUCGUCGCGACGCGGCGCGGCGCGGCGCGGGUUGCGGGAUUGAGCCGAGCCGAGCUCACACCUACGCGCUUAUUUUUGCCAGUCACUAACGGAGAGUUUUCUGACAGCUGGGCCACGAUCUGAGACGUCGGAUCGUGGGCUGUCACGGACUCGGACGUGGGUCGAGCCCACGUCUCUCCACGCGGCUGCGCCUAUAAGUAUGCGGUGUCUCCUAACCCUAGCCGCCACGAACAGAUCACAUCUGCUCACGCGCACGCCCACCAUCGUUCCUUUGCUGCUGCUGCCGCCGGUGACUCCAUCCCGUCCGCCACGUACACGGUCGACGGGAGAGCAGGUCUCCGAAACCACGCCCUUCUGGUUCCUGUACGGGGUAAGGGGCGAAUAGGUUUUUGGGCAGCGAUUACGCGACUGCUCGCUUCCGAUCGUCUACUUCCUCUACGUCCGCGUCGCCUUCAUCAUCACCAUGUCCACCGACGCCGACCGUGCCGCCGCCGAGAAAGCUGAAGCCGAUAAGAAGGUCGCCGAGGACGCCGCUGCUGCCACCAAAGCCGCGGCCUCUGCGUGGCCUACUGGAGGGUAUAACUCAUUUAUCCCGCUCCUAAUUAUUUUCAUAUUAGCAGUACUAGCAGUAUGUGUAGAUUUGUCUACUGUUUGCUUAGUACGUGCAUGUUUAGAUCAGAGUACGUCAUCAACUUAGUCAAUGCCAUGCUAGCGAUUUACUCAUAGAUUAAUUUAAUCGAGAAAUUUCCUAUUUACUCAACAAUCCAAAAACCUAUUAUGUGUAGGAAUUUCUCGGCAAGUGGCUUUGCCGCUGCACUGAAACCGGAUAAGUUUACCGGUACAUACUUCAAGCGUUGGCAGACUAAGACCACGUUAUGGCUCACGGCUAUGAACGUGUUCUGGGUCACCGGUGUCUCCACGGGAACGAUUGCUCCUGAACAGGAGAAGGCGUUCAAGGAGGCUACCGUUGUGUUUCUCGGAGCAGUUCUUAGCGUGAUCGGAGAUAAACUGGUCGACGCAUAUUUACAUGUGCAUGUCGCCAAGGACUUGUGGGAGGCGCUCGAAUCUAAAUUCGGGGCCGCCGAUGCAGGGAGCGAGAUGUAUAUUAUAGAGCAGUUCCACGAUUACAAGAUGGUUGAAAACCGUCCUGUAUUGGAGCAGGCUCAUGAGAUAAUAUGCAUUGUUAAGGAACUUGAGCUUCUCAAGUGCGAGUUACCGGGCAAGUUUGUCGCGGGCUGCAUAAUCGCUAAGCUCCCUAAUUCUUGGAGGAACUUUGCCACCACUCUGAAACAUCAGAGGCGUGAAUUCUCUGUGGAGGAUGUCAUUGGCCAUCUGAGUGUUGAGCAGAAUUCGAGGGCAAAAGACUCGCACGGAAAAGGGGCCGAAGAGACUUCUGUUGCCAACAUGGUGAACCAGAAGAACUUCAACUCCCACAAGCCCAAGGGAAAGAACGGUGUCCAACACAAUACCGACUUUAAGAAGAAGGGUAAGAAGACCUUCAAGAAGAACAAGAAGGACGAGGGCUGCUUUACUUGUGGUUCGGUUGAACAUUGGGCCAACAAGUGCCCAAACAAGUACAAGAAGUCAGGACAGGACUCCAAGUCUGUCAACAUGAUUGUGGGCAACAAUGAGAAUGGUGCAUCUGGGUACGGUAAUUUAUUUACUGUUUUUUCAGUGUUUCAACCCAACGAUUGGUGGGUGGACACAGGUGCAGGUGUUCAUGUGUGUGCUGACAUUUCAUUGUUCACUUCUUACCAGGUCACAGGUCACGGGUCCGUAUUGAUGGGGAAUGGCGCGAGUGCUUCUGUUCAUGGUGUUGGCACGGUCGAUCUGAAGUUUACUUCGGGAAGGAUCAUGCAGCUGAAGAACAUGCAGCAUGUCCCCACCAUCAAGAAGAACCUCGUUAGUGGCUCCCUUCUAUGUAGAGAAGGGUUUAAGUUGGUUUUCGAGUCUAAUAAAUUAGUUGUUACAAAAUAUGGACUCUUUGUUGGAAAAGGUUAUGAGAGCGGAGGGAUGUUCCGCCUUUCCCUCGCAGAUUUUUGUAAUAAAGUCGUGAACCAUAUUCAUUCGAAUGUUAAUGAAUCUGAAGUUUGGCAUUCACGUCUUUGUCACAUUAGUUUUGGUGUUAUGACGCAGCUAGCCAAGUUGGAUUUAAUCCCAAGUUUCACUUUAGCCAAAGGUUUUAAGUGCCUUUCAUGUGUGCAAGCUAAGCAACCUCGCAAGCCUCAUAAGGCCGCGGAGGAGAGACACCUGGCACCAUUAGAACUCAUACAUUCUGAUCUUUGCGAGAUGAAUGGUGUGUUGACUAAAGGUGGAAAGAGAUACUUCAUGACAUUGAUAGAUGAUUCCACUAGAUAUUGCUAUGUGUAUCUGUUAAAUACUAAAGAUGAGGCUCUACACUACUUUAAAAUCUAUAAGGCAGAAGUUGAAAAUCAACUUGAAAAGAAAAUUAAACGAGUCCGAUCAGAUCGUGGUGGAGAGUACUUCUUGAGUGAGUUUGAUUCCUUCUGUGCGGAACAUGACAUUAUUCAUGAGAGGACGCCUCCCUAUUCACCCCAGUCAAACGGGGUUGCCGAGCGGAAAAACCGUACUCUAACUGAUUUGGUUAACGCCAUGUUAGAUACAUCGGGUUUAUCCAAGGCAUGGUGGGGGGAGGCUAUAUUGACGGCAUGUCAUGUCCUGAAUAAAGUUCCGACAAAGGAUAGUGAGAUCACUCCCUAUGAGAAAUGGGCAAAGAGAAGGACGACACUCUCGUACUUGCGCACUUGGGGCUGUUUGGCGAAAGUCAACGUGCCGAUCCCCAAAAAGCGUAAGCUUGGACAUAAGACCGUGGACUGCAUUAAUUUGGGCUACGCUAAGAACAGCGUUGGCUAUAGAUUUCUAGUAGUGAAAUCUGAGGUACCUGACCAGAAGAUCGGUACAAUUAUGGAGUCUAAGGAUGCUACAUUCUUUGAGGAUAUUUUUCCUAUGAGAGAUAUGCAAAGCACUUCUAGACAGGAAUCUGAGGAGACUCCUGAACCUGCCAUCCCUAUGGAAUAUUAUGAACAAACACAUGAUGAAAAUCCCGAGGAGGAUGACGAGGAAACCCUUGGUAGGGGCAAGAGACAAAGGACUGCAAAGACCUUUGGUGAUGAUUUCUUCGUGUACCUCGUGGAUGAUACUCCCACUUCUAUUUCAGAAGCGUAUGCCUCUCCAGAAGCUGACUACUGGAAGGAUGCGGUCCGUAGCGAGAUGGAUUCCAUCAUGGCUAACGGGACAUGGGAGAUCACUGACCGUCCCUAUGGUUGCAAACCACUGGGAUGUAAGUGGGUGUUCAAAAAGAAGCUUAGGCCCGAUGGUACGAUUGAAAAGUACAAGGCUAGGCUUGUGGCCAAGGGCUAUGACCAGCAAGAAAAGAAAGAUUUCUUUGAUACUUAUUCACCUGUGGCUAGACUGACCACCAUUCGAGUAUUACUCUCGUUGGCGGCCUCACAUGGUCUUCUCGUCCAUCAGAUGGAUGUUAAGAUGGCUUUUCUAAAUGGAGAGCUAAAGGAGGAAAUCUACAUGCAACAGCCUGAUGGCUUUGUGAUAGAUGGUCAGGAAAGAAAGGUGUGUAGGUUGAUAAAAUCUUUAUAUGGCCUGAAACAAGCACCUAAGCAAUGGCAUGAUAAGUUUAAUACAACUCUGACAUCUGUUGGUUUCGUUGUUAAUGAGGCUGACAAAUGUGUAUACUAUCGCCAUGGUGGGGGCGAAGGAGUUAUACUGUGCUUGUAUGUUGAUGACAUACUGAUAUUCGGAACAAACCUCAAAGUCAUUGAGGAGGUCAAAUCGUUUCUAUCUCAGAACUUUGAGAUGAAAGACCUUGGUGUGGCUGAUGUUAUCUUGAACAUCAAGCUACUGAGAGAUAAUGAGGGUGGGAUCACACUUCUGCAAUCCCAUUACGUUGAGAAGGUGUUGAGUCGCUUUGGAUAUUCGGACUGCACACCAUCUCAAACACCAUAUGAUCCUAGCGUAUUGAUUCGAAAGUCCAAAGGCAUGGCUAAAGAUCAAUUGAGAUACUCUCAAAUCAUUGGUUCACUGAUGUACCUAGCGAGCGCAACGAGGCCUGACAUCGCGUUUGCUGUGAGCAAACUGAGCCGGAUUGUUUCCAAACCGGGUGAUGUACAUUGGCAUGCUGUUGAGAGAGUUAUGUGCUAUCUGAAAGGUACUAUGAACUAUGGACUUCACUAUAUCGGAUACCCGUCGGUACUUGAAGGGUAUAGUGAUGCGAAUUGGAUCUCUGAUGCUGAUGAGAUGAAGGCCACAACUGGGUAUAUGUUUACUCUUGGAGGUGGCGCUGUUUCCUGGAAGUCUUGCAAGCAAACGAUCUUAACAAGAUCGACAAUGGAAGCAGAAUUAACGGCAUUAGACACAUCUGGUGUUGAAGCGAGAUGGCUUCGAGAUCUUUUGAUGGACUUGCCAUUGGUUGAUAAACCGGUUCCGGCUAUCCUUAUGAACUGUGACAAUCAGACUGUCAUCACCAAGGUGAAGAGUUCAAAGGACAACAUGAAGUCCACCAAACACAUAAGAAUGAGAUUAAAAGCUGUCAGAAAAUUAAGAAACUCCGGAGUGAUAGUGUUGGACUAUGUCCAUACGGCUAAGAAUCUGGCAGAUCCCUUUACAAAAGGGCUAUCACGUGUUGUGAUAGAUAAUGCAUCGAGGGAUGGGUAUGAGACCCACAUGAGUUGCCAUGGUGGUAACCCAACCUAUGUGAUCGGAGAUCCCGUGAACUAGGACCUGGGAAAACAAGCCAGUGGUGAACUGAGGAGAGUAACUAUACUAACCCACUCCGUUGGAGAUGCAAUACUCUCGAUACUGUAUGGUAGGAUGACUACGGUCUCAAUGUGUUCCAAAGCUUAUAAAAGCAAGAUGCUAUCCUACAGAGCGAUCUUUGGAGGAACACACCUAUAUGAGCCCGACUGCUGGUCACAGUCUAUGAGAUUGGGGUGAUCUCUAGUAAGCUCAUGAAUAGGCCAGGAGUGUGACUUAUAUGCUCCACCCGAGGGGUCAGCCUUCGGCAGCCUAGUACUAGUAAGACAUGUAGUGAAACUUCUUUACGCCAAACUGACAAUUCAAGGCAUAGUCCAUUGUUCAGUUGUGAAGGAGUGUAGCCACUUGUUCUAGGUGAAGUUCAACCUUAACAGGUCUUUACUGAAACACUGGUAUAUCGAAACAGCAAUUGGAACAGAGGACACAAUGGGCCCUCGAGAUCUGGUGGGGGAUUGCUGAAAUCUGAGAUGGGCUCUAGGCCCAUAUUGCAAUUUCUGAAAAAUCUCUAAGGGCCCAUGUGGGUUAUAUGGCACUAGGUGUGGUGGGAAGUUUAGUCCCACCCCGGAGGUGGAAGGAGAGUUGGAGUGGUUUAUAAGGGUUUCUCUUCUACAUGCUAUUGGAGCUUGAGAAGAGAAGAGGCCCUCGCGCACUCCUCCUCCGCCGCCCGCCUCGCCACGCCACGCCUCGUCACGACGCGCCGCAGGUUGCGGGAUUGAGCCGAGCCGAGCCGAGCUCACACCUACGCGCUUAUUUUUGCCAGUCACUAACGGAGAGUUUUCUGACAGCUGGGCCACGAUCUGAGACGUCGGAUCGUGGGCUGUCACGGACUCGGACGUGGGUCGAGCCCACGUCUCUCCACGCGGCUGCGCCUAUAAGUAUGCGGUGUCUCCUAACCCUAGCCGCCACGAACAGAUCACAUCUGCUCACGCGCACGCCCACCAUCGUUCCUUUGCUGCUGCUGCCGCCGGUGACUCCAUCCCGUCCGCCACGUACACGGUCGACGGGAGAGCAGGUCUCCGAAACCAUGCCCUUCUGGUUCCUGUACGGGGUAAGGGGCGAAUAGGUUUUUGGGCAGCGAUUACGCGACUGCUCGCUUCCGAUCGUCUACUUCCUCUACGUCCGCGUCGCCUUCAUCAUCACCAUGUCCACCGACGCCGACCGUGCCGCCGCCGAGAAAGCUGAAGCCGACAAGAAGGUCGCCGAGGACGCCGCUGCUGCCACCAAAGCCGCGGCCUCUGCGUGGCCUACUGGAGGGUAUAACUCGUUUAUCCCGCUCCUGAUUAUUUUCAUAUUAGCAGUACUAGCAGUAUGUGUAGAUUUGUCUACUGUUUGCUUAGUACGUGCAUGUUUAGAUCAGAGUCAGUACGUCAUCAACUUAGUCAAUGCCAUGCUAGCGAUUUACUCAUGGAUUAAUUUAAUCGAGAAAUUGCCUAUUUACUCAACAUGAUCUGUCAAAACAGAUCCCCACUUGUGCCAGCUGCGGUUGCCUUGGCCGGUUGGCCCUGGUGGGCCGUACUGUAGGUUCCAGUUCAUAGCAGAUCAUAAUAGAACAUCACACUAUAUCCCAGAAAAGAAACUUGUUAUAACAUAGGGCACAAAACUUGGAAAUUAAUUUUUCAUGAAGAAAACAUAUAAGAGACAUUGAUUGCGUUUAUGAAAUAUGACUAAAACAUAGGAAUAUUAUUGAAAAUAGCUGAAACUUUGAAAUAAUUAAAUGUUUCUGAAACUAUUUCCAAAACAGUGUAAAAUCUCUACUUUGUUAGGUCUACAGUACUGGAGAGAGCAUCAUAAACUGACCAGAUCUGAACUCAGAGAGUCUUGGUCAUGCUGUUGCAUCACCUGCAUGUGUUUGGAUGGAUCUAUGUAGAGUAUCAAAGCCGGUGUGGAUCUCAGCUUCUACUGACUCAUUACGACGGUGAGGGAGGGUCAGGUCCCUUCUCGAUUUCCUAAGCUCAAGGUUAUCAAAGUAAUCAACCACGCACGUGACACGUAGUGCAGGAACCUAAGAGAGAAGCAUGCCAAUGAGAUUGAGUUGCCAGAGUCCUGAUUACGACUGAAAAUUCUUAGGAUGCUCCUCUGAUUUUAGGUUUUCGGAACUUCGGAUCAAUGUGACAACCAAAUCUAGAACGAAAUUAUAAUAGGAGAACGUGGAUUCACGGAUUGAGGCAGAGGCUCACGAUGAAAAUCAGUGAGAGUACAAGAUCCUUCGGCGUGAAAGAACCGUUUUACCGGGGCGACACAUUCUUACUAUUGUUCCUUCAUUUUUGAUAAAUAAAGGAAGAGCCUCAUAUUUCAUUUUCAGUAGGAGUACAAUCAUUACAUAAGGCCUGCUGGGCCGUCAACCGUAUCGUCCAAGUAGAGAUCACACCAUAACACUCCAGCAUGUGCACCAGCAAGUUCAAUGGCGUCCUGGCUGCUCUCACUUCUGACCAAGCAAGGUGUGCAGGCUGCAAAAUUGUUCACGAGGUCAUGUAUGUCUGCAUAAACUGCAAGGAGCUCAAAGAAACUAGUACUAUCAGUACUAUCAGCUAGCAGCUUCAAAGCGAGCAAAGCUAUUUCUAGCGGUGAUGGUAUGUGGCGGUGAGAAAUCCAUCGCUCUUGUGGACACUGAGGUCGUGCCGUCAGAAGUGCGUUUCAUUUUCCCGUCUGAAUACAGAUCAAUAUGUCCUGAAAAUAUGUGCACUACUCCCCACCUCCAUCCAGCUUCAGUUUUUUCGCUGCCACAAUACAGCUUCAGCUUCCUGACACCAGAGCAUGUAAUGUCACUCCUCUGCAGGAUAGCCAAGGGCGUGGUGGAAGGCCCGUCGCGGAACCUCCUGGAGUCGGUGGCGCAGUCGAUCGCCGGCACCACGCUGCUCGAGUUUCCCCAGAUCUCCGCCGUCCGGGUGAAGGUCGGGAAGCCCCACGUCGCGGUGCAGGGCGUCGUCGGCUACCUGGGUGUGGAGAUACUGAGGCGCAGAGAGGCAUGAGCACAAGAACUGAACAGAGUUAAUCUCAGUUGAGCCGGUCGAUCUCUG